rnacentral:rRNA from 1 species
UACGGGGGGGGGCAAGCGUUGUUCGGAAUUACUGGGCGUAAAGGGCUCGUAGGCGGCCAACUAAGUCAGACGUGAAAUCCCUCGGCUUAACCGGGGAACUGCAUCUGAUACUGGAUGGCUUGAGUUCGGGAGAGGGAUGUGGAAUUCCAGGUGUAGCGGUGAAAUGCGUAGAUAUCGUAAGGAAGACCAGUGGCGAAGGCGGGGUCUCUGGACAGUUCCUGACGCUGAGGCACGAAGGCCAGGGGGAGCAAAACGGGG